rnacentral:rRNA from 1 species
GUGGGGAAUUUUGGACAAUGGGGGCAACCCUGAUCCAGCCAUGCCGCGUGCGGGAAGAAGGCCUUCGGGUUGUAAACCGCUUUUGUCAGGGAAGAAAUCCUUUGGGUUAAUACCUCGGAGGGAUGACGGUACCUGAAGAAUAAGCACCGGCUAACUACGUGCCAGCAGCCGCGGUAAUACGUAGGGUGCGAGCGUUAAUCGGAAUUACUGGGCGUAAAGCGUGCGCAGGCGGUUUUGUAAGAUCGAUGUGAAAUCCCCGGGCUCAACCUGGGAACUGCAUUGGUGACUGCAAGGCUGGAGUGCGGCAGAGGGGGAUGGAAUUCCGCGUGUAGCAGUGAAAUGCGUAGAUAUGCGGAGGAACACCGAUGGCGAAGGCAAUCCCCUGGGCCUGCACUGACGCUCAUGCACGAAAGCGUGGGGAGCAAACAGGAUUAGAAACCCUGGUAGUCC